GGCACCUACAAGCUCUACAUCUGUACUACUUCACUAUUGAAACAAUCUUCUCAUUGAUGAUAUCCUGUGAAGUCAGACUAACAGAAAGAGCCUCUGAAAAAUGACAUUGUUCAUCCCAGAUAUGGCAGCUGGAUGUGUGUUUUUGUUCAUCUUCCUUUCCAAUACCUUCCAGCCCAUCAAUACCCAAGUGCCAAACAACUGCUAAAUAGCCAAGUCUGAAUUCUCCAUUUAUUUCAUGUAUCUGUGUGUCCAUAUGUCAAACCACAUACCAAUGAUCAAGAUUAUGGAAUAAAAUUAACAUUUAUUGGAGAAAUGGGACCUUAUACCAACUGACCACA
ensembl:lncRNA